rnacentral:tRNA from 1 species
UCCCCUGUAGCUCAAUGGUAGAGCGGAAUCCUGUUAAGAUUAAGGUUCGUGGUUCGAGUCCACGCG